GUUCAUUCGGAGACAUCCAAAAUAUUGGAAUGAUAUAGACAAAAUUAACAUGUCUCGUGCACAAGAUGACAUGCAUAAAUAGAGAAAUAUAUUAUUAUUAG